UUUAGCGUGUAAGAAGGACUCCUAAACUCCUUCUUUCUGUGAGGUAUAUGGGGCACAAAGGACUUGGUAUUGGGCGAUAUAAAAUUCUAAGAGUCCAAAGAUGUUUGGACUCUUAUCUCUUACUCAAAAUCUAACUUCUCUUAUCCUAUUUAAACCAUACCUUAUGGGAUGGUUUGAGUGGCUGAAAAGAUCAGAUUUUGGACACCAACAAGAAAGGAGA
rnacentral:lncRNA from 1 species